UCCCUUUUUGCUUUGCAUCUCAUUUCCCCUACUUGUGUCUCUCAAUUUCUGUUUCGAAUCUAUGUUUGUCUAUUUUCACUUCUUCUACUACUGUCUCUAUCUACUCGUUCUGUAACUGCUGUUUGUGUCAAGAAAAUUGAAAAGUGUUCUGGGUUAUUGUUAUUUAUUGUAAAGAUUGAGACCCUCUUGGUUCUUUUCUCUCAUACGGCUCUCAUCGUCUGAAGAACAUUUUAAAGAGGCCCGAUUGGGCAUUCUCCUACUUGAUUGGAGAGCCAACUAUGCUAAAAUCCACUGAAGAUGCUGACCAAGGUUUUUCUCAUUUAAGGAGAGGUUUUCUUGGCUACUGAUGGUGGUCAUUUAGUGUACCUAGAAAUUGGUGAUGGGAUAUCGACAGAAGUGAAACAUGCACAAUUGGAGUAUGACAUAUCAUGCCUUGAUAUAAAUCCCAUUGGUGAAAAUCCCAACUGCUGUCAGCUAGCUGCGGUGGGAAUGUGGACUGAUAUAAGUGUUAGAUAUUUUCUCUACCUGACUUGAAUCUCAUUACGAAGGAAAAUUUGGGGGGAGAGAUUAUACCACGCUUUGUUCUUUUAUGUUCGUUUGAAGGGAUAUCUUAUUUGCUAUGUGCCCUUGGAGAUGGUCAUCACUUUUUAUUGAACAUGAGCACUGGGGAGUUGACAGAUAGGAAAAAGUCGAGAGAGUACACAACAACAACAUGUAGACCAGAACAAUGCUUCCAUGGAAUUGAUCAAUAGUGUGACUGGUACCGAUGAGGAGGGUUGGUCUCGGCAACGGAUUCUUACAUUUGCUGUUAGGAGGUAGUCAUUGAUUUUGAAUUAUGAAUUAUCAGCUUGUUUGGCAUUACUUGUACCUUUGUUUCUUUUCAAAUUUUAUAAUAAGGUGUUGAGUUGUAUGCUUCUAGAGUAUCACACAAAAAUUAUGGCAAAGAAGUAAAUUAUGACAAAAAUACAUGUUUAUAAGCAAAGCCUAUUGAACUCUCUGUACCGUGAUAAAAUAUUUUUUCUACUUUUCAAGUGGUUGAAGGUUCAUAAAAUUCUGAACUCAUCAAAAAUAGUGGAUCUACUGUUAUUGAAGGUGGUAAGCUUUUUACUUUUAACUUUUAAAAUGUAGCUGUUCAGUGUUGAUUUUUGCUUCCAAACAUAAUCUCAAACCUUAACCCGAUUGUUUUUGUUGCACUGGAUGUGUUUCACAGAGCCUCGUCUUCUGUUGAAUUUUUUAAUACGCCUUCAGUCAUUGUCGUUUUCAAGAUUAACGAGUGGGGGAUUGUAGCCCAACUAUCUUUUUGGAAAGAUACAUCGGCAUACCGUUUUCUUUCUUUUCGGCUUUUCUCUGUCGCUUCUUCUUCUUCUUCCUCUUUAUAAUAUGAAACCUUAAUUUGGUAUAUUACUUGGGCUUAAGCUUUUCUGCCAUGUUGGUAACUUGGUAUACCCACUCUCUGUUCAAUUUGUUUGGCCAGUAGGUUACUUGGGAUGUGACAUUAAAAUUCUUCAAACUGGACUUGACAUGUACAGUGGCAGCACUCUUUUCAUUUUGGAGACAAAAAGUUGAAUCUCUUCAAUGGCAAUAUUGAGUAAUAAAUUACUUUUAUUUCAGGCUCUAUGUUCUUAGUGUUUAUACUUACAGCUUCAUGGGCACAUUUACCAUUGAACUCGCUUUGUGUGUAUUAGAAACUAGCAUAUAGUUCGUUUUGAGACGGGAUCUAGCUUUACAUAUAACUCACUCUUGAUUCCAGAUCUGCCAUUUGACUUUACUUUCUUUGUAAUACAACACAUGUGUUUGCUGCAUCAGAUAGGCCAACUGUCAUUUAUAGUAGUAACAAGAAAUUACUCUACAGCAAUUUAAAUUUGAAAGAGGUCAGUCAUAUGUGCCUUUUCAACUCUGCUGCUUUUCCAGACAGGUAAAUUUGGCUCUCUUAAUUUUAAGUUUUUUUCCCGUCAUCAUCGUCAAUUGAAAUGUUGGAACUUGAUUCUUUUGUAUUUUUUCUUAAACACACUUCUUGAAUGGGAAAAGGAGAAAUCUUUAAUUGUUAUUAUAGUCCAUGCUUCUAUAGGUAAUUCUAUGCCACUUCUUGGUAAUUUUAGCUCAUCAGUUUGUUUUGGUCAAAGUCAUCACUCCUACCGUUGAACUCUCUCUCUCCAUUGUUGUGGUUUUCUGUCAUUAAAAGACCUGCACAAGACCAUCUUGGGGUCAGUUUCUCAGCAACAGCAACAAUUGAGAUGCAUGGAGGAACAUGUCUCUUCAUUUCUUGCUAUAAAUAUGACUUAUGAACUGAAAGCUGAUGUCUCUUUCAUGUGUUAAACUUGAAGAGGCUGCUAGAGAAGAGAAGCAGGCAAUGGAAAAAAUUGCGGCAAUAUUAGCAUCUCUUACAGCUAAGAAAACAGCUAUGCACAAAUAUGGUCAAUUACUCUGGGCAGCAGUGGGAAAAGGCAGCCUUAUUAAAUAGUGUAAUUCUGCACAGGUUGAUCAGCAUACUAGUACAACUCCGAAGUUGAAGAUAAUAGCAGCGCCUAGAUUGGCAUCCAUCGAGGAGAUGAGAACACCUGCAGUUGGAGAUCUUAUGGCGAAUUUUACCAGACCAAAUUUGGGCUGUACUAAAAGCAAGAUCCAACAUCAACAAGGGCCGUGUUUCGGAGCAUCACCUAAUAAUAGAACUCCUUUUGCGGAUGCCAAUUUCUCUUAAUGAGCUCCUUGAUAAGAAUAUUUUGACAAAUGGAAAACUUGAGCAGCUUCAUCUGUUGUAUGUUAUUGGAUGAGUCUUAAAUUCAAAAGUGUAUUAGUAUAAAGUUUGCCAAUUCAGAAAGCUGAGGUUGGCUUUAUGUUUAGUCCAAAAUAUAUGUUAUAAACUACUGUGCAUGAGGGAUGUCUUUUGUAAAUCUGUAAAUCUUAUAAAAAUUCUAAAUGAUUUUCAAUUA